rnacentral:tRNA from 1 species
AGUCGAAUGGUCUAAUGGUUAUGAUUUCUCGUUCACAAUUGACGUGUACAAUGUUCCGAGAAGGUUCUGAGUUCGAUCCUCAGUUCGACUA